UCUUACUGUGUCAUCUUCAACCAACAAAAUAAUCACAGUCCACUCGCUUAAAAGUUGAGAUUAUUACGUCCGUACUCUAUAUUGACAAAUACAUCCCCAAAUUUUCAUGUUGCCAUACACAUGUUAGUAAUGACAAAUGAUAUCUAUCAUGACUUUUUUAAAACUAGAAUAUCAUCGAAGGCUCCCAAAGGAAGAAACGGCAGCCCACAGAAAAUCAGUGGUUAGUUCCGAUUUUCAUCGUGAAUCGAAAUCCAAUUCAUGGCCACCGUUAAUUACUUCGAAGAAAAUUUGUGCGAAUUUUGAAAACCAACCUUUGAAGAUCAAAUUCCUCCUUACGAACGAUAAUAUCCCUGGGAUCUCAUUACAGAAUCAUCUGCAACAUUUUCAGGCGAAGUACCGAAGAAAACCGAAAUUAAAGCCGUUGUCAUGAGGAUUUCUGCGCCCGUCUACAAACUGAAUAACCAUUGCAUUAUUCAAUGUCAUAAAUUUGAAGUGAUAUAAUAUAGACUAUCAUAAAUACAA